AGCCGCCCUCCCUGCCCGCGCCUGCGCACCGGCUGCUGGGCGGGAACUGGUCGCGUCCGGACCCGCGACGGCUCCCACCCGCCUUAGGCGGAAUCAGCCGCGCCGCAGUCGGAGGAAAUAGACGCGGGGCCUGAGGCUCAUGGACUUGAGCAAGCCUGUUACCCUCUGCGAGCCUCAACUUCCCUAUGUGUAACAAAUGGCCAAUUUUAUGGGAUUGUCAAGAAGCUGAAAUGAGACCCUGGCUGGAGGAUAUUUUAUGGACUAUAAGUUCCUACACAAUUAUAAUGACUUAGUUAUUUAUCCUAUCCAUGGAUCACCUGGAAGUUUACAGUGUGAUUUAAAAUGCAUUCUGUCAUUCCACCGACCUGCAGUGAAUUUUGUUGUCGUUAUUACUCCAGGGAUACCUAAAGGGGAAGUUUGCUCAUAAUUCGUACCCACUCCGUGUAGAAAGGAUUCAAGGCAGCCGAUGAUGAAAACCCCCAUGCUUGCAAGUGAAGGUUCUGCCUGUCACUCCUCGCAGAGGCUGCAGAAAAGGCCCAGGAGGCUGUUGAUGACAUGAACGACCACCAGGAGAAGCUGGAGCAGGCUGAUGCACAGAAGGGCGGAGAAGAGGGACACGUGCCAGACAACAGCUGCAGAGGGCUCCAGGCAGAUGGAGUUCCAGAGCCAACGGUCAUACAGAUAAUUCCUAUCCCAAAAAAUAAGGAGACCACGAAUCAGGCGAUAAGUCUUUGAAUGGGUAACCAUAUUUCCAAGCCUGUGUCUGAUUGAAGGACGAAACAUCAAACAUGCAAAAAGGACCAUCUUUCAGAGCAACUCCAGAAGUGACAAAGCAAAUCAGGGCUCCAAGUAAAGCCAGGCCACUUGACAACAGAGCAUGUUUUUCUGCAGAGUCAUGGAGUCAGUCUCCCACUGAGGUCAAGCUGGUUUGGAGUUGGGAAGGGAUCGGAGAAAGCUGCAUAAGUUUUGACUCUGAGUUAAAAGAUUCAAGAUGAAUCAGUAAGCCUAGAGCAGUGGUUCCCAAAACGGGGCCCCUGCCCAGCUGCAUCACAUCACCUGAGAACCUGUUAGAAAUGCAAAACUUCCCCCCAAUCCUGAAUCAGAAACUCUGGGGAGGGAGCCCAGCAAUCUGUGUUCCGGCAAAAGCCCUCCAGGUGAUUCUGAUGCACAUUCAAGCGUCAGAACUACGUGCCUCGGGGAAAACCAGAUGGGACUGAGAACAGACAGUGAAUGAAAUAUGAAAGCCUGAAACUGGAAAGAUGAAGCAACUUGCCCAAGAACUUAGCGUUAUUGAGGGUCACAGUGAGGACCUGACUUCAGGCCCCAAGACCAAAAUUGCCUCUUUACCACCCUGCAUCUAGAGUAAUAGAGGUGGAGACAUUCUCGGUGUUAGAAGAGUGGAAUCUGGUGCUUACGCUUCGACAGAGCCCACUCGUACUGAAGCAGCCGUAUCUCCAGCCCAUCAAGGAGAUGAGGAUAGCUGCAGUGAGUACCUGCAGGGGAGAGAAGAAUGUUGAGAUGGGGAAAUUGACUUUGCCAGCUGUUUCCAGGUGCUGCCCACAGCUGUUAGAGUGGCUGGCACCUCACAUGAACUCGAUCGUCCCGUUGACUCUGACUCUGGGGACCCACAUUGGUAUGACUAGCCUGAUCUAACGCUGUGGAUGUUAACUUUCACAUCCGACCUGCAUGGUCCCAAGCCAGUCUUCCUGUCUCUUAGAGCUUCUGCAGACCCAAGACCAGCUUGUUAGAAUAAACUUUUCUGCAAGGAAUCAAAACACUCUUCCCAUGCCACCUUCCUGCUCCCUGCCAGGGUCUCUUUGAGCGUUCACAUUCAGGGAACCCCAGACACUUACCAUGAGGCCUCCUCCCCAGAGCCCAGUUCCCAGCAUGGCAUGCCUGCCAAUGAGGCCCCUCAACAGGUAGGUCACAUCCCAGUUAGGAAAGAGGAGUGCCAUGUUGGCCCCAGCAGCAAACAGGGCUGCAGUCCCAAGGCUCAGUCCCAGGAUACGGGAGCAAGUCCGUGAGCUUGCCGGCGUGCAGGGAGAGGACACCAUCCUGGAACAGAUAGAAAGGGAGUUGCAGCAGCUCUGCUGUGGGGGGAUGGGGAAGGGAACUCCAGCAGCAUAUGAUGGGUGGGGGAAACAGACUACAGAAACCACCACCUUCCAGGGUCAGACCAAUGAGAGCCAAGCAACCUGCUUAAAAACUUUGCUCGUUAUGAAUCUUCCCCAGUGACUAGGAUUUAAUUGUUUCCUUUUCUGCUAACCCCUGUUCACACAUACAUAGUUUGCAUUCCAUCAUAUUUUGUCUAUGCCUCUAUUACAGCCAGUGAUUAUUUCUGACAAAAAGAAAUGUUGAAAGGUGUCUUCA